rnacentral:lncRNA from 1 species
CGAUCUGAAGUACUCGACGAAUCGCGGCUCCUUGACGACGACGGAGCGGUACUCCUCCGUGGCGACGACGGCCAUCUCCUCCAUGAGCUUGCGCCACUCGGGCUUGGGAGACACCGGCGGGUGCAUGCCGUGCUCCAGCGUGGCGGCCGUGAACCGCUGCAGAGACUGGAAGCACAGGUUCUCCUCCCCGAACAUGAACUCGAUGACCUCGCCCUGCACCGUCACACGGAUGGACCCGUUGAUGGUGUCCGGCGGCUGGGACAGGAUGGCGAGGUGCGUCGGGCCACCGCCCCUGCCGACGGUGCCACCGCGGCCGUGGAACAAGGUCAGCUUCACGCCGUACUUCUUGGCCACCUUGGCCAUCUCCUCCUGCGCCACGUACAGCUGCCACGCCGCGGACAGGCGGCCGGCGUCCUUGCCGGAGUCGGAGUAGCCGACCAUCACCUGCUGCUUGCCGUUGAUGUGGUUGAUGUACCAGUCAGUGGAGAAGAGCUUCUCCACGGACGCCGGCGCCGCCUGCAGGUCGGCCAGCCUCUCGAACAGCGGCACCACGGGGAGCGUCUGGCGAAUGCCACACUCGCGCUGCAGGAGCUCGACGGCGAGCACGUCCGAGGGCGCCGUGCACAUGGAGAUGAUGUAGGGGCCGAAGCUGUCGAUCGGGAGCUCGGCCAGGACGCGCAUGGCGCCGAUGACGUCGGCGAUCUCCUCGGUCAUGGGAAGGUCCGGGGGCAGCAGUGGGCGCUUGCCUUUCAGCUCCGACACCAGCCACUCCAUCCGCUUGUCCUCGGGCCACGAGCGGUACGACCCGAUGCCGAGGUGCGUGGUGAUGGCGUCGAUCACGUCGGUGUGCCGCUCCGACUCCUGCCGGAUGUCCAGCUUCACCAGGGAGAGACCGAACGCGAACACCUGGCGAAGGAGGUCCAGGAGGCUCCCGUCGGCGAUGGCCUUGUCGCCGCACUCACACAGGGAUUUGUAGCACAGCUCAAGGGGCUCAAGGAACUGCACGCAUGAGAUGCAUUUUUUUUUGUGCGACAGUAAGAAUCAGACCGAAAUGUACUAGUACAUCAUAUUAUUGAUUGAUCGCUUAAAUCACAUUUCAGUUUCACAAAAGGAAUAAAAUUAAGGAACUUGCCGAUUUAUUUACC